CUCUCUUCCAUUUCCCAUUCAUGCUUGUUGGAAACCCUAGCCAUGUCCUUCUCCUCUUCUUGCUUUUAAUGGUUAAAGAUAGAUUAAUGGAAGUAGAGAGGAUGAGAAGAGAAGAUGGCAAGGUACUCGACUCUUAGGUUGUGCUUAAGACCUUGUUGAUCAGCCAGUGCUAGGAUGGAUCCAUUAGGGUUGUCUUUUUCUUGUAAAUUUUUGUUAUUAACCUGUAU